UUUUAAAGGGUGACCCUUUCCUGUCCCGGCCUGCGUGGCGUGGGCUUGUGGGUCUUUGAGACCCGAAAAUUGAGAGCGUUUUCGCACUCCAGGGGCUGCUCCUGGCGGCUCUGCGGCCGUCACCAUGCCACAGAAUGAAUAUAUUGAAUUACACCGUAAACGCUAUGGAUACCGUUUGGAUUACCAUGAGAAAAAGAGAAAGAAGGAAAGUCGAGAGGCUCAUGAACGUUCAAAGAAGGCAAAGAAAAUGAUUGGUCUGAAGGCUAAGCUUUACCAUAAACAGCGUCAUGCUGAGAAAAUACAAAUGAAAAAGACUAUCAAGAUGCAUGAAAAGAGAAACACCAAACAAAAGAAUGAUGAAAAGACACCACAGGGAGCAGUACCUGCCUAUCUGCUGGACAGAGAGGGACAAUCUCGAGCUAAAGUACUUUCCAAUAUGAUUAAACAGAAAAGAAAAGAGAAGGCGGGAAAAUGGGAAGUCCCUCUGCCUAAAGUACGUGCCCAGGGAGAAACAGAAGUAUUAAAAGUUAUUCGAACAGGAAAGAGAAAGAAGAAGGCAUGGAAGAGAAUGGUUACUAAAGUGUGCUUUGUUGGAGAUGGCUUUACAAGAAAACCACCUAAAUAUGAAAGAUUCAUCAGGCCAAUGAGACGGGGUUUCACCGUGUUAGCCAGGAUGGUCUCGAUCUCCGUGAUCCGCCCACCUUAGCCUCCCAAAGUGUUGGAAUUACAGGCAUGAGCCACCGUGCCCGGCCAACGGCUUGCGUUUCAAGAAAGCCCAUGUAACACAUCCUGAACUGAAAGCCACCUUUUGCCUACCAAUACUUGGUGUAAAGAAGAAUCCCUCAUCCCCACUGUAUACAACUUUGGGUGUUAUUACCAAAGGUACUGUCAUUGAAGUAAAUGUGAGCGAAUUGGGCCUUGUGACGCAAGGAGGCAAAGUUAUUUGGGGAAAAUAUGCCCAGGUUACCAACAAUCCUGAAAAUGAUGGAUGUAUAAAUGCAGUCUUACUGGUUUGACAGCAAUUUCAUAUAUAAUUAUUGAGGACUACACACCAAUUGAAGAAACUGCCAUUACUGUGAUGUUUCUGAAUACUACCAAACAGCCAUACAUGUCUGCAAUGAAGAGACUUAUUAAAUUGUAAACAUUAAAGUG